AACGAACGCUGGCGGGAGGCUUAACACAUGCAAGUCGAACGGAUCCUUCGGGAUUAGUGGCAGACGGGUGGGUAACGCGUGGGAACGUACCCUUUGCUACGGAAUAACUCAGGGAAACUUGAGCUAAUACCGUAUGUGCCCUACGGGGGAAAGAUUUAUCGGCAAAGGAUCGGCCCGCGUUGGAUUAGCUAGUUGGUGGGGUAAUGGCCUACCAAGGCGACGAUCCAUAGCUGGUCUGAGAGGAUGAUCAGCCACACUGGGACUGAGACACGGCCCAGACUCCUACGGGAGGCAGCAGUGGGGAAUAUUGGACAAUGGGCGCAAGCCUGAUCCAGCCAUGCCGCGUGAGUGAUGAAGGUCUUAGGAUUGUAAAGCUCUUUCACCGGUGAAGAUAAUGACGGUAGCCGGAGAAGAAGCCCCGGCUAACUUCGUG
rnacentral:rRNA from 1 species